ensembl:miRNA
CUCGCCGCCAUGCGGGGCAGCGGGGCGCUGGGAAACGUUUCAGCACCGCCUCUGGUGGUGGGUUUGCGGACGGGGGCGGG